GCCUGGGUGGCUCAGUCAGUUGAGCGUCUGACUUCAGCUCAGGUCAUGAUCUCAUGGUUCGUGGGUUCAAGCCCCACGUCAGGCU
rnacentral:tRNA from 1 species